CUCAAGGGCGCCUCGGACGACGCCAACGGUGACGUCGGUGGGACCGUGACAAAGACGUCGCGGCACCAUCUGUGCGCGUGGCAUUGCCAGGCGCACGAACGCGCAAAAUCAUGCACGACGUCGACGAUGGCCGCGCAGUCGCUUUCGAUGGCGCUGCGCAUGAUCUUUUCGCCCUCUUCCGCAAGGUCGGGAUGGGCAGCGAGGACGGCGGCCAGGGUGGCGCUCUGGCCGGCAGCCGCGGCCUCGCGCGCAUACUUGACACGGCAGCGAAAGGCGGCCGGUCCGUCGAGCGUGUUUCCGGCGAUGUCAUCGAGCGUCGCGGCGCUGAGAUCAUUGAGUGGGCGGCAGACACGGGCGUCGAGCCAGAGGAGGGCGUCGGUGCGUCCCGCCGCCGCCAGCCGACACAGGCCGCCAGCGUCAAAGCCCUUGGUCGCCAUGCCCCAGCGGCCGUACACGGCGACAAAGGCCUCGAUGGGUUCGUCACAGGGGUCAGUGCCAUCGACAGCGCGUUCUGAAUCGACCGCGUCGGCACGCGCCCGCACCGACACGGUGAGGUCAUGGGGGGUCUCGGGGGCGUACUUGCGCGUCCACGUGUCGCACGGCGCCAGCACGUUGGCAAACCGGCGCGCGGUGGCCUGAAAGGCGACGACGUCGCGCCAGCAUUCGACGCGCAUGAGCACCUCGCGCACCAUCUCUAGGGGGAGCGUGUCAAACACGUCCGUGUCGUCGCAGGGCGUCGCGUAGGCAUGGAGAACGCGGCGUCCCGCGUGACGGUGCCGCUUGGACGGACGGGCGGCGAGGGCGCUCACGAGGGUCCGAAACUCGCCGGCCGUAUGGGCCACGGGGCGCUUGCGUGACGCCUCGUUCAUUUCUGCCUUUUUUAAAAUAAAGGCUUUCCCCC
rnacentral:lncRNA from 1 species